rnacentral:misc_RNA from 1 species
CAGAUGACCCGGAGGCGGAUAGUAUCCGCAGCCAUAAGGUCGAUCUACUGUUACCGUAGUCAUGCUCCGGCAUGGCUUCGUGUCCACCCAUUGUGAACCUUUUUAUUAUGCUUCGGCAGCUCUUUGCGUCUAAACAGCGUGGAGGUAAGGCUGUCGAUAGCUCAUAUUAAAACUAGUUUUGAAUAUCAUGAUGUCUGAAGCUUUUUGAGAAAUCAAAAUACAAGUUA